GAGUAAUAUAUCGGAACGUGCCCAGUCGUGGGGGAUAACGCAGCGAAAGCUGUGCUAAUACCGCAUACGAUCUAUGGAUGAAAGCGGGGGAUCGCAAGACCUCGCGCGAUUGGAGCGGCCGAUAUCAGAUUAGGUAGUUGGUGGGGUAAAAGCUCACCAAGCCGACGAUCUGUAGCUGGUCUGAGAGGACGACCAGCCACACUGGAACUGAGACACGGUCCAGACUCCUACGGGAGGCAGCAGUGGGGAAUUUUGGACAAUGGGCGCAAGCCUGAUCCAGCAAUGCCGCGUGCAGGAUGAAGGCCUUCGGGUCGUAAACUGCUGUCGCAGGGGAUGAACAAAUGACAGUACCCUGGGAGGAAGCCACGGCUAAC
rnacentral:rRNA from 1 species